GCUCCGAUAGUGUAGCACGGCCAAUCAUGCAGGACUCUCACUCCUGCGACUGGGGUUCAAAUCCCCAUCGGAGCA
rnacentral:tRNA from 8 species